ACGCACGCUGGCGGCGUGCUUAACACAUGCCAGUCGAACGGAAAGGCCCUGCUUGCAGGGUACUCGAGUGGCGAACGGGUGAGUAACACGUGGGUGAUCUGCCCUGCACUUCGGGAUAAGCCUGGGAAACUGGGUCUAAUACCGGAUAGGAGCCAUUUUUAGUGUGAUGGUUGGAAAGUUUUUUCGGUGUAGGAUGAGCUCGCGGCCUAUCAGCUUGUUGGUGGGGUAAUGGCCUACCAAGGCGGCGACGGGUAGCCGGCCUGAGAGGGUGGACGGCCACAUUGGGACUGAGAUACGGCCCAGACUCCUACGGGAGGCAGCGGUGGGGAAUAUUGCACAAUGGGCGCAAGCCUGAUGCAGCGACGCCGCGUGGGGGAUGACGGCCUUCGGGUUGUAAACUCCUUUCGCUAGGGACGAAGCUUUUUGUGACGGUACCUAGAUAAGAAGCACCGGCUAACUACGUG
rnacentral:rRNA from 1 species